rnacentral:tRNA from 1 species
GACCUCGUGGCUCAGUUGGUAGAGCAUUGGGCUGGUAUCCCAAAGAAAAAGGUCUCGGGUUCGAUUCCCACCGUGGUCA